AACGAACGCUGGCGGCAUGCCUAACACAUGCAAGUCGAACGAAGGCUUCGGCCUUAGUGGCGCACGGGUGCGUAACGCGUGGGAACCUGCCCCUCGGUUCGGAAUAACAGUUAGAAAUGACUGCUAAUACCGGAUGAUGACUUCGGUCCAAAGAUUUAUCGCCGAGGGAUGGGCCCGCGUAGGAUUAGCUAGUUGGUGGGGUAAAGGCCUACCAAGGCGACGAUCCUUAGCUGGUCUGAGAGGAUGAUCAGCCACACUGGGACUGAGACACGGCCCAGACUCCUACGGGAGGCAGCAGUGGGAAAUAUUGGACAAUGGGCGAAAGCCUGAUCCAGCAAUGCCGCGUGAGUGAUGAAGGCCUUAGGGUUGUAAAGCUCUUUACCAGGGAUGAUAAUGACAGUACCUGGAGAAUAAGCUCCGGCUAACUCCGUG
rnacentral:rRNA from 1 species